rnacentral:rRNA from 1 species
GACGAACGCUGGCGGCGUGCUUAACACAUGCAAGUCGAACGCUGAAGCUCAGCUUUUGUUGGGUGGAUGAGUGGCGAACGGGUGAGUAACACGUGAGUAACCUGCCCCCUUCUUUGGGAUAACGCCCGGAAACGGGUGCUAAUACUGGAUAUUCACUGGUCUUCGCAUGGGGGUUGGUGGAAAGGGUUUUUCUGGUGGGGGAUGGGCUCGCGGCCUAUCAGCUUGUUGGUGGGGUGAUGGCCUACCAAGGCUUUGACGGGUAGCCGGCCUGAGAGGGUGACCGGUCACAUUGGGACUGAGAUACGGCCCAGACUCCUACGGGAGGCAGCAGUGGGGAAUAUUGCACAAUGGGCGCAAGCCUGAUGCAGCGACACCGCGUGAGGGAUGGAGGCCUUCGGGUUGUGAACCUCUUUCGCUCAUGGUCAAGCCGCAACAAUGGUUGUGGUGAGGGUAGUGGGUAAAGAAGCGCCGGCUAACUACGUG